rnacentral:rRNA from 1 species
GGAAUUGCUAGUAAUGGCAGGUCAGCAUACUGCCGUGAAUACGUUCCCGGGCCUUGUACACACCGCCCGUCACACCAUGAGAGUUGGGGAUACCCGAAGCCUGUGAGCUAACUUUUAGAGGCAGCAGUCGAAGGUAGAAUCAAUGAUUGGGGUGAAGUCGUAACAAGGUAAC